GUAGGUGAACCUGCGGAAGGAUCAUUACAUUCAGUAGCUUGCUACUGUUAGGGGGGUCUAUUAGCCUGUAUAGUAUCACUACUGAUGAGCAGCGCGACCCUCUGUCUGUACCCUUGUCUUUUGCGCACUCAUGUUUCCUCGGCGGCUAAUCCCCGCCGGCUGGACAACACUAUAACCUUUUUAAUUUUCAAUCAGCGUCUGAAAAACUUAAUAAUUACAACUUUCAACAACGGAUCUCUUGGUUCUG
rnacentral:misc_RNA from 1 species